UUUUGAAUAAAACAAUCAUAUUUUACAGCAAGAAAUUUUCAUAUUUCUUUGGAAUGUCGAUGCUCUUCGUGCUGUUCUACUGACUGUUUUGAAUAUAAUAGUUAUUGCCAUUGUUUGGACCUCAAAGCCUAGUAUCGAUCAAUAUAAAGAAACAUUACAAAAUGUCCAGACAGCCUUCAACAAACUCGGAAUGCAACUUUCCCCUUUCCCUGUAAAUGAUGACAAGAUAGCAGCUACCGUUUUAGUCGUCAUAGAAUGUCUCACGAUUGGAUUUAACAUUAUGCACUUACUGUUGUUAUUCUGGAUGCUCAACGAUAAAACUGUUGCAAGUUGGAAAAUCAAAGCUCUAUUUUCGACAAUUGGAUUCAUGCACUCCGGUAUACUUAUUGCGAGAGUAAUCUGCGUGGACAGAUUGCGACCACAAGAAUUU